GCCGAGUCUUCUCCCUGGGAACACCUGCCCCUUUGUAGGUUGGCACCUGUGCUUUUAAGCUUGAGCACCUGUCUGAUUCAGAUCUCCUGCUACUCAGCGGACGAGUCCGUGCUUUGUUUCUGCUAAAUAGAGGGGGGGUACUUUUUGCAGGCAGCCGUUUCGUUUGCAUUCAUGGCACAAGGCGGGAGCUGCUCAGUUACGGCAGGGAAAGCCAGGCAGCGGCAGCAGCAGAACACACAGUUAUUUCCCCCGCAUCUUUCUUCCCUCACAACACCCCUGCGAGGUAGGUAGAUUAGCCUGGGAGAGACUGGCUGUCCCAAGGUCACUCAGCAAACUUCAGAGCAGAGUAUAUUUUUCAUCUUGAUCUUCCUGGCCCUAAUCCAACAUGCGAACAUCUGUAUUAUUCAACAGAAUGUUUUAGCUCGAGUAGGUUUAGUUGCACUUACUGUCAGAUUGUUGCAAAUCAAAUAGAUUCCACAUAUUUGGGGGGGAGCACAGGGUUGCUGCUGUGCAAGAGAGAGAGAGAGAGAGAGAGAGAGAGAGAGAGAGAUCAGAAGAGGACACCAACUUGCACAACAUCUGCAGGUGCUAAUUCAUAUGUACAGUUUUACCUCGGGUUACAGACGCUUCAGGUUCCAUACGCUUCAGGUUACAGACUCCGCUAACCCAGAAAUAGUGCUUCAGGUUAAGAACCUUGCUUCAGGAUGAGAACAGAAAUCGUGCUCUGGCGGCGCGGCGGCAGUGGGAGGCCCCAUUAGCUAAAGUGGUGCUUCAGGUUAAGAACAGUUGCAGGUUCAGAACGGACCUCCGGAACAAAUUAAGUACUUAACCCAAGGUACUACUGUAGCUGAGACUCCAAUACUUUGGCCACCUCAUGAGAAGAGAAGACUCCCUGGAAAAGACCCUGAUGUUGGGAAAGAUGGAGGGCACAAGGAGAAGGGGACGACAGAGGACAAGAUGGUUGGACGGUGUUCUCGAAGCUACAAACAUGAGUUUGACCAAACUGCGGGAGGCAGUGGAAGACAGGAGUGCCUGGCGUGCUCUGGUCCAUGGGGUCACGAAGAGUCAGACACGACUAAACGACUAAACAACAACAACACUACUGUAUAGAUGCAAAUGUAGAAAUAAUUCCUGUAGCCAAGCUAUCCACUGGACUUCAUGGGGCAAUGUUGGUCCCUAAGCUUGUCUCUCUCCCUCUCCCUGCCCUCUCCCUGUCGCCCCCUCUCUCUUUCUCUCUCUCUCUCCUUCAGUCAUUUGGAAGUGGAUUUGUAGCAAUGAUCGCUGGGUGUGGAGCACACUCCCCCUCACAGAUAAAGCCACCGCUGUCUGAACAUCUUGCCCUCUGUCUAACCUUUUGCCAUCUCAGUAGUCUGCGGUGUCCUGUCUGUGACCUUUGUCUCUGAGACCUUUGUCUCCUUCGUCAUACACUGUGCAAGGGGAAAAUGACGUGGUGGAAACAGACGCCAAAAUAGCUUUGUACCACCCCACGAUCUCAGGACUGGAAGAUGUGUAAAGGUCACAGCCCAAAAUGUAUCUGCCUGGGUUUGCAUAUUGUGUCAAUAAAAGGAGCCUCCACAGAGCUGGCUGGCAGCUUGCUUGCAGCUCACCUGUGCGCAGCUCACCUGCAUUACCAACUCCUGCCUCAUGUCCUUCACUUCAUGGAUUGCUUAACAAAUAUGUGGUUUUAUUAGCGAUUCAUUGCAUCCUUCCAGAAUACAGAGGAAAAUUGUACAGGUAUGUUUAGCCUGGAGAAGAGGAGCCUGAGAGUUGAGAUGAGAACUGUCUUCUACAAUCUGAAGAUGGAGCAAGCUGGUUUCCUCCUGCUCCAGUGCGUUGGCCCUGAACCAGUUAAAUCCAGUGGAAUUUCAGUGAAACCAAAUGAAAAGAAAGGCGAUUCGAAAUAAACAUUGGGGAGAAGUUUCUGUCGGUAAGAGCUUUUUGUCAGUGAAACGGACUUUCUUGGAAGGUAUCAGCCUCUCCUCCACCA